rnacentral:rRNA from 1 species
AUACGGAGGAUGCGAGCGUUAUCCGGAUUUAUUGGGUUUAAAGGGAGCGUAGGUGGGAUAUUAAGUCAGCUGUGAAAGUUUGGAGCUCAACCUUAAAAUUGCAGUUGAUACUGGUUUCCUUGAGUACGGUACAGGUGGGCGGAAUUCGUGGUGUAGCGGUGAAAUGCUUAGAUAUCACGAAGAACUCCGAUCGCGAAGGCAGCUCACCGGGCCGGAACUGACACUGAUGCUCGAAAGUGCGGGUAUCAAACAGGAUUAGAUACCCUGGUAGUCCGCACAGUAAACGAUGAAUACUCGCUGUUUGCGAUACACGGUAAGCGGCCAAGCGAAAGCGUUAAGUAUUCCACCUGGGGAGUACGCCGGCAACGGUGAAACUCAAAGGAAUUGACGGGG